UACGUAGGGGGCAAGCGUUGUCCGGAAUUAUUGGGCGUAAAGGGUGCGUAGGCGGCCUUUUAAGUCAGAUGUGAAAGCCCGCGGCUUAACUGCGGGAUUGCAUUUGAAACUGGGAGGCUUGAGUAUCGGAGAGGGUAGUGGAAUUCCCAGUGUAGCGGUGAAAUGCGUAGAUAUUGGGAGGAACACCAGUGGCGAAGGCGACUGCCUGGACGAAAACUGACGCUGAGGCACGAAAGCUAGGGGAGCAAACAGGAUUAGAUACC
rnacentral:rRNA from 1 species